CAGCCGGCUGCCAGGGCAGCGGGCGCUGGGCUCGGGCACUGGAGCCCAGCUCUGGGCGCCCCCUCCAGCAGCUCUGGGAGCCGGGAGACGGCCACUGGGGCUGUGGACAGAGCGGGCGUUUGCCCAGACACGUGUUGCUCCUGGGGCAAGGCCCCGGGGCAGUCAGGAGCUCUGCAGGCUGCCCAUCCCUGGCUGCCAGGCUCAUGCCCACUGCCCUCUGGGUGCGUGCCGUGUGACUGUCCCCAAAGCCGCCAGCCAAGUGCGUGCCCUUCUCAGAGCCCCGUGUCCCCCAGAACCUGAGAGGUUCUCUUUGGUUGUUGGGUGUGAUCAGCAACUGACCAUCCCAUGCCAAAGGAUGGCAUGGUGCAACUGAAAUCCUGUGAGAGUUGCAGGAUUUAACGAAGCCAAUGAAAGGGGACACUGGAGGACUCUUCUAAUGCCACACAAAGUCCUAGACAAAUUCGAAACCUGGCAGAGGGCGGCUAGUUCACAACAGAAGAAGAGAAAAUUGGCAGCAAUGAGUCAUGACAGGAAACUUUCAUCAUUCUCCUGUCAGUGAAAUAUGAAAUGAAAAAAUGUCAUACCACGCUAGCAUCUAAUUUUGUUCAAAAAAAUUAUCCCCCUUAACCCAAUAAAUACUUGAUUUGCUCUUUGUUCAUUGAAA
rnacentral:lncRNA from 1 species